rnacentral:rRNA from 1 species
UACGUAGGGUGCAAGCGUUAAUCGGAAUUACUGGGCGUAAAGCGUGCGCAGGCGGUUUUGUAGGUCUGUCGUGAAAAUCCCCGGGCUCAACCUGGGAACUGCACUUGUGACUGCACGGCUGGAGUGCGGCAGAGGGGGAUGGAAUUCCGCGUGUAGCAGUGAAAUGCGUAGAUAUGCGGAGGAACACCGAUGGCGAAGGCAAUCCCCUGGGCCUGGCACUGACGCUCAUGCACGAAAGCGUAGGGGAGCGAAACAAGG